rnacentral:tRNA from 1 species
GGCUUCAUAACUCAGUUGGUAGAGCAUCGCACCUGUGUCGCGGAGGUCACGGGUUCGAAUCCCGUUGAAGCCC